CUUCGGAGUGAUCACAUGACCCCCGGGGGCCUGAUUUGGCAUGGGAGGGCCGUCUGGGCUGUCAGGCAGUCCUCCCGAAGCGGAGCGCCGGGAAGGUAAGUAUCCCAGCAGCUCCAGGGCUCAAAGCCGUUACGGCGUUCUAUGCCGCCGCAACGGCUUUAAAGCCCAUUUAAUGCGGGAUGGCAUAGAACGCAGUAACGGCGUUAAGCAAAUCGUGUGUAUUGGCCCG